rnacentral:rRNA from 1 species
GAUGAACGCUGACAGAAUGCUUAACACAUGCAAGUCUACUUGAAUUUGGGUUUUUUAACUUAGAUUUGGGUGGCGGACGGGUGAGUAACGCGUAAAGAACUUGCCUCACAGUUAGGGACAACAUUUGGAAACGAAUGCUAAUACCUGAUAUUAAGAAUAUAUGGCAUCAUAUAAUUAUGAAAGCUAUAAGCGCUGUGAGAGAGCUUUGCGUCCCAUUAGCUAGUUGGAGAGGUAACGGCUCACCAAGGCGAUGAUGGGUAGCCGGCCUGAGAGGGUGAACGGCCACAAGGGGACUGAGACACGGCCCUUACUCCUACGGGAGGCAGCAGUGGGGAAUAUUGGACAAUGGACCAAGAGUCUGAUCCAGCAAUUCUGUGUGCACGAUGACGUUUUUCGGAAUGUAAAGUGCUUUCAGUUGGGAAGAAAAAAAUGACGGUACCAACAGAAGAAGUGACGGCUAAAUACGUG